UAGAAUUCCAGGUGUAGCGGUGAAAUGCGUAGAGAUCUGGAGGAAUACCGGUGGCGAAGGCGGCCCCCUGGACAAAGACUGACGCUCAGGUGCGAAAGCGUGGGGAGCAAACAGGAUUAGAUACCCUGGUAGUCCACGCCGUAAACGAUGUCUACUUGGAGGUUGUGCCCUUGAGGCGUGGCUUCCGGAGCUAACGCGUUAAGUAGACCGCCUGGGGAGUACGGCCGCAAGGUUAAAACUCAAAUGAAUUGACGGGGGCCCGCACAAGCGGUGGAGCAUGUGGUUUAAUUCGAUGCAACGCGAAGAACCUUACCUGGUCUUGACAUCCACAGAACUUUCCAGAGAUGGAUUGGUGCCUUCGGGAACUGUGAGACAGGUGCUGCAUGGCUGUCGUCAGCUCGUGUUGUGAAAUGUUGGGUUAAGUCCCGCAACGAGCGCAACCCUUAUCCUUUGUUGCCAGCGAUUAGGUCGGGAACUCAAAGGAGACUGCCAGUGAUAAACUGGAGGAAG
rnacentral:rRNA from 1 species